GUCAAGCUGAGCUGAGCUCUUGAUUUUUCUCCCACUGGAAGGUCAACAUUGUUCGGGAUUCCUCAUCUUGCCGUGGCUCUGAGUUGGCUAAAUGCCAAGGUCAUCUUUCUGUUUGUACUACAGAUACGCUGUAAUUGAUUUUCUGAGCGAACCUCUGCAUGUUCCUACGACAUUUUGUGAUCUUCCAAGUGAACAACCUGACAGUGCCAACAUUUAUACUGAAGUAAAAGAACUCCUGAAAAUUCUCAUAUAAAUGUCAGCAAUAUUGUGGAAGUUUGACCACUUUCAUGAGUCCAUACAUUGGAAAUCAAAGUAAUAAGGAAAUAUCUUAACUCUAUUAAAAUCAUUUUUUCUCCUUUGUA